rnacentral:rRNA from 14 species
CGAUGGAUGCCCUGGCAUCAACUGGCGAUGAAGGACGUGGGUUGCUGCGAUAAGCUUCGGGGAGCCGUAACCAGGCACUGAUCCGGAGAUUUCCGAAUGGGGAAACCCGACGGUCUGAAAGGCCGUCACCCGAAAGGGAGCAAACCUGGGGAAUUGAAACAUCUUAGUACCCAGAGGAAGAGAAAGAAACCUCGAUUCCGUAAGUAGCGGCGAGCGAAAGCGGACUAGCCCAAACCCGUGUCCAUUUUUUGGCAUGGGGGUUGUAGGACAGCAUCACGAUAGUGUUAUUGUUAGCAGAAUGGUCUGGAAAGUCCAAUCAUAG